CCACACACGAUCCAAGAUCGACACGUUUUGUGAACUGUUUUAAUAUAAUUUUCUUUGUUGAGUUUGGGGGUUUCGUGUUUUAUAUUGGUCAGAAAAAUUUUCUGACUUCCGAUAUAAAGCUUAACCUUCACAAACACAACUGAAGAAAAUUAAAUCAUAAAACCAAACCUUUAAACAAAAAUGAUUUAUACAUUGGAACUUAAAUGUUACUUAUCAAGUUCGUCUUGAUGUAACGCUAGAUUAUUAAUUGUAAAA
rnacentral:misc_RNA from 1 species